rnacentral:rRNA from 1 species
AACACGGACGAAGGAGUCUAACAUGUGUGCGAGUCAAUGGGUUGUCUAAACCCAUAGGCAGAGUGAAAGCAAAGGUGGCUUCAUGUCACUGAGGGGUGAUGUCCUUGUGAUCGCAACCCCGGCACUUCGUAGAGACCUCGCUUCUCGCGGAGUAGCAAGAGCAUACACGUUGGGACCCGAAAGAUGGUGAACUAUGCCUGGCCAGGUUGAAGUCAGGGGAAACCCUGAUGGAGGACCGUAGCGAUUCUGACGUGCAAAUCGAUCGUCGGAGCUGGGUAUAGGGGCGAAAGACUAAUCGAACCAUCUAGUAGCUGGUUCCUUCCGAAGUUUCCCUCAGGAUAGCUGGUGCUCGUUAUCGAGUUUCAUCCGGUAAAGCGAAUGAUUAGAAGCCUUGGGGACGAAACGUCCUCAACUUAUUCUCAAACUUUAAAUGGGUGAGAUGUGUGACUUGCUUGAGUGAAGCCACACAACGAAUCGGAGUGCCAAGUGGGCCAUUUUUGGUAAGCAGAACUGGCGCUGUGGGAUGAACCAAACGUCGGGUUAAAGUGCCAAAGUGGGCGCUCAUCAGAUCCCAUGAAAGGUGUUGGUUGCUUAAGACAGCAGGACGGUGGCCAUGGAAGUCGGAAUCCGCUAAGGAGUGUGUAACAACUCACCUGCCGAAGCAACUAGCCCUGAAAAUGGAUGGCGCUAAAGCGCCCCACUUAUACCCGACCGUUGCGGCAGAGCAGACCCAUUGUGGUCCUCACGCCGCAACGAGUAGGAAGGUCCCAAGGGGUGGCCCCGAAAGCUCUUAU